UUCUGGGAGGAAAAGGCAGAAAGAAUAUUUUUCCAAUUAUUCGUUAUUUUGCAAAGACCUAGUUAGUUGGAAUCAUUAUUGUAAAGGAACCCUCCAUAAACUUGCAUUAAAAACCUAAGUAGGAUAGCUAACAUGAUGACAUGGAAAGGAAUAAGGUGGACUGAUACAUUUUCUAGCUGAAAAGUAUCUGGAGAACCAAAUACUCUUUUUGAUUGCUUCAGCUGUCAGAGAUGACACUAGAGUUUCAUUUUGUUUGGUUUUACAGUUUGAAAAAAUCUUAAACAGAAGUCUGCACAGAAGCUACUUGCCACAACACCCAUUUUAGUUUCAGUCCUAUUCAGUUUGAAUUGUUCCAUUUAGAUAAUUGGUGUUCGAAGGCCCCCUUUGCUAUUUAGGUGUUAAUCUUUAGCGGGAAUACAAGAUAUCAUGUCAAGAUCAUGAUAAAGCAUCAAUAAGGGAUGAGUAUGUUCCUGUUUGGGGAGGAGUCAGGGUAACCACUUUUUCUUUCUUCUUCAUCUUUUCACUUAAUUCCAGGUAUUUAAGUUAAGGAAUCAACCAAAUUUGCAGUUUGCCUGUCAUUUUCUUGUCUCUGCAAAGCAUAAAGACCCACGUUAUUAGCCUUUUUACGAAGUCUUCUCACCUGCCUCAGUCUCCCACCAGAUAAUUCUUUCUUCUAUAAUGAUAUCAGCUUAUAAUUAACUUUGCAAGAAGCUGUAAUAGAAGAAUCAAACUCUGGUUGGCUCUAAGAUGGAGGCUCCAGGUCUCAGGCAGCAGCAGCAACAUUCUAUAAUCAGGAUUUGUCCACAUUCCUUGAGCCCCGCUGCAAAGGAGGAAGAAGAACAUGGAGGGUGGGGCAGGGCUGAUCUCAGAGCAGGCACAAGAUGUGGCCAGUUCACGAAGACCACUGAGAAGAACCGCAGCUUCCUCAUUGUUUCUCUACCUCCCCAGUCUUGCUCAAGAAAAGGACUGAAAUUUAAUAUAUAAUUCUAUUCUCUUUAAGACCUGGACUGAGAAGAGAGAAGGGGUAGUAGACAGCACAAUAGGUUAGUUUAGGGAUAGGUGUGUGGAGGGGAGAAAUCAGGGUGAUUUGCUUGCUGAGAAGACAGAGUGGUUCCUGGAGGCAAAGCCUGCUCACGUGAAAAAAGAAGCCUACUUCUACCAAAGCCUUGGCAAGCAAGUGAUGCUAGCACUUGGAAAAUGAACCACACAUUGAAGGGAAUGGAGCUCAUCGAGUUAACAACCUGACUUGCUUGUUCAGCUGUAGACUGUAAUAGUUAACAUUUAUUGAGCGCAAACGGUGACUUGAGGACUCCUCUAAGCAUCUCACAUAUAUUAAAUGAUGAAUUAAUUAAAUGCUUAUAAUAGUCCUAUGAUCUUGGUGCUAUCAUGUAUACACUUUAAAGUUGAGGAAUCUGUAGCACAAAUGCUUAUACCCCAGAUCAUUCAGGUGGUUUGGGUUCACUUUUAACCACUAAUCCAUGCCACCUUUCUACUGAUUUUCUCUGCACCUUUUUUGAGUACUGAAUUUAUCCUAGGAGAAGUCUAUACCCUACUUCUACCACCACUGUCUAAAUAAAGAUGGAGAAGGACUGAGGUUUUAUACAGCAAAAAGAGAAGGUGCUUUUUCUUAAUUUUGGGGCAGUGGAAUUUUCUGGGUUGAUAACAAAGCUCAGCACUGCCACAAUUUUUCAUUAUUGGGAAAUGUGGUUCAGCUGUCCUGUCCCAGAGUGCCUAGUUAGCAUAGCAGAUCUGUCAGCGUCUGCAUAAGGGGAAAGCUUCCACUCCUCAAGAGCGAUAUUAAGAUCAAUUCUGCUUGGUUCACUCAUGCUCCUGGAAGGUGGGAAUUUUGUCUUCUUUUGUGUGUUCCUCAUGGUACUAAGUCACUGCUCAUUAAAUGCCUGAUGACUUGAACUCAAACCCUGUGGUAGGAGGAUUUGAACAGCCCACUCUCCUGGACUCAGAGAGAAGUUUUUUCACACCUCUUCCAAAGACACUGAUGCCGGAAGCAUGCUUUGGGCCAUAUGUAAGAAGCAGCUAGUGCAAAGAUAGCCUUGCCCGUGUAUUCCCAAAGGCCUUUAAAGGGCAGAGAUGACUGGCUGUGAGUUCCACAUGCUGUUAUACCUUAAGGAAGUCAGACUGAAUUCUAUUUGUAGAGAGACACUCCCUCCUACACAGAGAGUUUGUUUACCAUGAAGAGGUUGGAGAAGCCUGUUAGCGUCCAAUGACAGGAGAACAGAGAAUCACAGAAGAAAUCCAAUAAUUAAACCACUCUGCCUGGCAAGCAACCCAUUGGAAAGUAAUGGCUCUGGAGAAGAAGUUGGUAGGGGCACUUAAUUAUUGCAGUCUUUAAUUCAGUGUGAGUUGCCUGAACACUGAGAGUUUGAUCAGUAUGUGUUAAUCUAGUUAAAAUAGGUACUUUUUCUCAAAAUAAACUGGGUAUACAAUGUAUGCAUCACAAAUCCUGAUUUAUAGCAACUCCAGAGAUAAGGGUUUAGGUAGUGUUGCAUUUAAAACAAACACUUGGCCAUUAUCUGUAAAAAUGUGGUUAUUCUAACUUCAGGAUUGUCUUUCCAAAGUCUUUUCCCUUCGUAUACACAUGUACUCACACAUAUAUCCAAUGAAUGAUGAUGGCAUAUAAUGAAAUAAUACUGCUUUCUCAAAACCACUUACUUUUGAACCCACCCAAAACAAGAGCCAUUUCCACUGAUUACGUGGCAGUUGGACCAGAUGCCUUAUGACUUCUUUUCUAUUGAAGUUGCAUUCUAUAAAUGACAGAUGCUUUAACUUUUAUUUAGCAGGAGAAGCCAUUAAUCUGUCUUCAGACUUUCCCCUACCUCCCACAGAAAAAACAAUUUGCUCUUCAAAAGUUUGUUUGGAAAUGAAACCAAAUUCGGUGUUUCCUCUACAGAUGGUUGACCUCUUUCAGUUGGUGGCUGCAUUACUCAUUUAAACAAUCAUACAGGUCAAUAUGGUGUAAUCUAAAUUAUUUAGUCUCUUAGUGUUUUUCAGACACUACUGACAGUUGGAGAGGCUCCAGCUGCUGGUUGUACCUGGAUUUGAACUCCACCCAAGGAUAACAGAGUUUUAAGUCUGUAUUCCAGAGCCCAUCCAUUGACAGUCUUGCACAUCGGUUCUGAGGGAUUCUAACUUAAGAUUCAAAAUGUCUAUACAUGUGAUGAUUAUUUUCAGAUGAAAAGUUUAAAAUAUGAGUGAUUUUUCAAGGACUCAUUACUACCUGGAUGAUCUUUCUCCUGAAGCCUAACUUUAAAACACCUUUCUUUUUUGUUUGUCCCCCACAGGGAGCAAUUCAAAUCUACCAAAUAGACUAGCAAAAUAUUAUGAUAACCUUUUCCAUCCUAAUUUGUACUGGAGGCUGAGUGUGUACUAGGAUCAACAUUAAUUACUGUAUAACAUUUCAGCAGUGUGGUUCAUGGAAAUGUCAGGGAGUUAGCUACAGGGGACUUGGGGUCUUGGAAACAUCAGGGGGGAAAUAGCUAAAGAACAUGUGCUCCACAGGACAAAAGGGAUUUACAAACACGAAAUUUAGAACUAAGGUGGAAAUAAAACCCAAGACUGAGGUGUUAACACCAAGCAAAUCCAAUAAAAGUUAGGUUUAUCAAGGUAGAGAAAAGGCUCAAUGCAAUACAAUCUGGUGGUCUUUCUACCAUCUUUAAAUAAUUUAAAAAUUACUAAAAUUUAGGUUCCAACA